GGAAGUAUAGCUCAGCGGUAGAGUGCAUGCCUAGCAUGCAUGAGACCUUGGGUUCAAUCCCCAGUACCUCUG
rnacentral:tRNA from 1 species